rnacentral:rRNA from 1 species
UACAGAGGUCUCAAGCGUUGUUCGGAUUCAUUGGGCGUAAAGGGUGCGUAGGUGGCGUGGUAAGUCGGGGUGUGAAAUUUCGGAGCUUAACUCCGAAACUGCAUUCGAUACUGCCGUGCUUGAGGACUGGAGAGGAGACUGGAAUUUACGGUGUAGCAGUGAAAUGCGUAGAGAUCGUAAGGAAGACCAGUGGCGAAGGCGGGUCUCUGGACAGUUCCUGACACUGAGGCACGAAGGCCAGGGGAGCAAACGGG